GAUGAACGCUAGCGGGAGGCCUAACACAUGCAAGUCGAGCGGUAGAGUCUCUUCGGUUACUUGACAGCGGCGCACGGGUGCGUAACAUGUGCGCAACCUACCUUUAUCUGGGGGAUAGCCUUUCGAAAGGAGGAUUAAUACUCCAUAAUAUAAUGAUUGGCAUUAAUUAUUAUUGAAAACUCCGGUGGCUAGAGAUGGGAACGCGCAAGAUUAGAUAGUUGGUGAUGUAACGGCUCACCAAGUCGAUGAUCUUUAGGGGUACUGAGAGAGAGAUCCCCCGCAUUAGAACAGGGUCACGGACCAGAGGACUGAGACACGGAGCAGAGUCGUAUGUUAGGCAAUGGGUGAGAACCUUAGCCAGUCGUCCCGAGUGAAGGAUAGCGGUGCUGUGGAUUGUAAGCUUCUUUUAUGGAGGGAUAACCCUAUCCUCGGGAGGGUAGCUGACGGUACUGGACGAAUAAGCACCGGCUAACUCCGUG
rnacentral:rRNA from 1 species